rnacentral:rRNA from 1 species
GACGAACGCUGGCGGCGUGCUUAACACAUGCAAGUCGAACGGAAAGGCCCCUUUGGGGGUACUCGAGUGGCGAACGGGUGAGUAACACGUGAGUAACCUGCCCUUGACUUCGGGAUAACUUCAGGAAACUGGGGCUAAUACCGGAUAGGAAUCCUUGCUGCAUGGUGGGGGUGGGAAAGCUUCGGCGGUUUUGGGUGGACGCGCGGCCUAUCAGCUUGUUGGUGGGGUAGUGGCUUACCAAGGCUUUGACGGGUAGCCGGCCUGAGAGGGCGACCGGCCACAUUGGGACUGGGAUACGGCCCAGACUCCUACGGGAGGCAGCAGUGGGGAAUAUUGCCCAAUGGGCGGGAGCCUGAUGCAGCAACGCCGCGUGCGGGAUGACGGCCUUCGGGUUGUAAACCGCUUUCAGCAGGGGCGAAGCUUGUGGUGACGGUACCUGCAGAAGAAGCACCGGCUAACUACGUG